rnacentral:rRNA from 1 species
AUUGAACGCUAGCGGCAUGCCUAACACAUGCAAGUCGAACGAGUGGCGGACGGGUGAGUAAUGUAUCGGAAACUGCCUGGUAGCGGGGGAUAACUACUGGAAACGGUAGCUAAUACCGCAUACCAUCGGAUGUGCCCAUAUGGGAUUAGCUAGUUGGUGGGGUAAAGGCUCACCAAGGCGACGAUCCGUAGCUGGUCUGAGAGGAUGACCAGCCACACUGGAACUGAGACACGGCCCAGACUCCUACGGGAGGCAGCAGUGGGGAAUAUUGGAUAAUGGGGGCAAGCCUGAUGCAGCCAUGCCGCGUGUAUGAAGAAGGCCUUCGGGUUGUAAAGUACUUUCAGCGGGGAGGCGUUACCCGCAGAAGAAGCACCGGCUAACUACGUGCCAGCAGCCGCGGUAAUAC